rnacentral:rRNA from 1 species
ACUCCUACGGGAGGCAGCAGUGGGGAAUAUUGCACAAUGGGCGCAAGCCUGAUGCAGCCAUGCCGCGUGUGUGAAGAAGGCCUUCGGGUUGUAAAGCACUUUCAGUCGUGAGGAAGGUAGUGUAGUUAAUAGCUGCAUUAUUUGACGUUAGCGACAGAAGAAGCACCGGCUAACUCCGUGCCAGCAGCCGCGGUAAUACGGAGGGUGCGAGCGUUAAUCGGAAUUACUGGGCGUAAAGCGCAUGCAGGUGGUUUGUUAAGUCAGAUGUGAAAGCCCGGGGCUCAACCUCGGAAUAGCAUUUGAAACUGGCAGACUAGAGUACUGUAGAGGGGGGUAGAAUUUCAGGUGUAGCGGUGAAAUGCGUAGAGAUCUGAAGGAAUACCGGUGGCGAAGGCGGCCCCCUGGACAGAUACUGACACUCAGAUGCGAAAGCGUGGGGAGCAAACAGGAUUAGAU